rnacentral:lncRNA from 1 species
AAUUAGAGAAUUGACUAAAUCUAAUCAAUUGUUGUCUUAGAUUAGGUCAUGGAUUCUCUAGAUCAAUUACAAUAGUUGUAGUUGGUCAAGUCCAUGCCUUUAACGAGAACCAAAUGGACUUGAUUUUUGGCUAAGCGGUCUAGCACGAACUGUUAGGUUGAUCCAAUCGAAACUAGUUAAACCAGUUGGUGUCUAAGGUAAACC